CAUGCAAGUCGAACGCGAAAGUCCCCUUCGGGGGGCGAGUAGAGUGGCGCACGGGUGAGUAACACGUAGGUAAUCUACCUUUGGGUGGGGAAUAACAGCCGGAAACGGCUGCUAAUACCGCAUAAUGCAGCGGCACCACAUGGUGACAGUUGUUAAAGCGGGGGAUCGUAAGACCUCGCGCCUAGAGAUGAGCCUGCGGCAGAUUAGCUAGUUGGCAGGGUAACGGCCUACCAAGGCUUCGAUCUGUAGCCGGCCUGAGAGGGCGGACGGCCACACUGGCACUGACAUACGGGCCAGACUCCUACGGGAGGCAGCAGUCGGGAAUUUUGGGCAAUGGGCGAAAGCCUGACCCAGCAACGCCGCGUGAAGGAUGAAGCUUCUCGGAGUGUAAACUUCAUAAGAAUGGGACGAAUAAGUGGGGGAUAACACCCCCCAUGAUGACGGUACCAUUUGUAAGCUCCGGCUAACUCCGUGCCAGCAGCCGCGGUAAUACGGGGGGAGCAAGCGUUGUUCGGAUUUACUGGGCGUAAAGGGCGCGUAGGCGGCGCAACAAGUCACUUGUGAAAUCUCCGGGCUUAACCCGGAGCGGCCAAGUGAUACUGUCGUGCUAGAGUGCGGAAGGGGCUACUGGAAUUCUCGGUGUAGCGGUGAAAUACGUAGAUAUCGAGAGGAACACCUGCGGCGAAGCGGGUAGCUGGGCCGACACUGACGCUGAGGCGCGAAAGCCAGGGGAGCGAACGGGAUUAGAUACCCCGGUAGUCCUGGCCUUAAACGAUGGAUACUUGGUGUCCGGGGUUACAUAGUCCCCGGGUGCCGGCGCUAACGCAUU
rnacentral:rRNA from 1 species